AAUAUUGGACAAUGGGGGCAACCCUGAUCCAGCCAUGCCGCGUGUGUGAAGAAGGUCUUCGGAUUGUAAAGCACUUUAAUUUGGGCGGAAGGGCUUCAGGUUAAUACCCUGAAGUAUUGACGUUACCAACAGAAUAAGCACCGGCUAACCCUGUGCCAGCAGCCGCGGUAAUACAGAGGGUCCAAGCGUUAAUCGGAAUUACUGGGCGUAAAGCGCGCGUAGGUGGUUCAGUAAGAUGGGUGUGAAAUCUCCGGGCUUAACCUGGGAACUGCUUUCAUAACUGCUGAGCUAGAGUACGGUAGAGGGUAGUGGAAUUUCCUGUGUAGCGGUGAAAUGGGUAGAUAUAGGAAGGAACACCAGUGGCGAAGGCGACUACCUGGACUGAUACUGACACUGAGGUGCGAAAGCGUGGGGAGCAAAC
rnacentral:rRNA from 1 species